AUGGCGUUCGUUCCUGGGUGCGUGCAGUGCGGGACGCGGAGCAACCCGUGCCGGUGCAAGGUCGUCGGGCUGGGGUUCGUGGCCUUCCUGGUGACGGGGGUGGUGGAGUGGCCGCUGGGCGCGGCGGUGUACCUGUUCCGCCAUCGCAAGGGACGCCGCAUCAUGGGACACCCCGCCAGGGUCGUCUACCCGCGCGUCACCACGGCCAUCCCCAUCUAUUCCUGA
rnacentral:rRNA from 1 species